CCUACGGGUGGCAGCAGUGGGGGAUAUUGCACAAUGGGGGAAACCCUGAUGCAGCGACGCCGCGUGGGUGAAGAAGCGCCUCGGCGCGUAAAGCCCUGUCAGCAGGGAAGAAAAUGACGGUACCUGAAGAAGAAGCCCCGGCUAACUACGUGCCAGCAGCCGCGGUAAUACGUAGGGGGCAAGCGUUAUCCGGAUUUACUGGUUGUAAAGGGGGCGCAGACGGCGAUGCAAGCCAGGAGGGAAAGCCCGGGGCCCAACCCCGGGACUGCUAUUGGAACUGCGUGGCUAGAGUGCAGGAGGGGCAGGCGGAAGUCCUGGUGUAGCGGUGAAAUGCGUAGAUAUCAGGAGGAACACCGGUGGCGAAGGCGGCCUGCUGGACUGCAACUGACGUUGAGGCCCGAAAGCGUGGGGAGCAAACAGGAUUAGAUACCCCAGAAGUC
rnacentral:rRNA from 1 species